rnacentral:lncRNA from 1 species
UCAAACACAAGUAGUCUAUUACAUUUACAUUCAUUUACCAAUUCAUUUACAUCACGUUUUCCUUUAACCAAAAUACAUGAUUUACAUCAUUCUUACAUUACCCAAAAUAUAAUUUACAUUUCUUGCUUUACAUCAUUUACAGUUCAACACCUACAGUUGNCUUUAACCAAAAUACAUGAUUUACAUCAUUCUUACAUUACCCAAAAUAUAAUUUACAUUUCUUGCUUUACAUCAUUUACAGUUCAACACCUACAGUUGAGUACACCAAAAUGUAGGGUAUGCCUAUAUCUUGAGGGCCGCUAGCUACGGUGCAACACCCUUGCCUCGAUCCUCUGCCGCCCCGCUCGCGCACGGAUCUGCAGGGUUAGUGGUAAUGAGAACUAGAACGAAUUUUCCAGUGGGUUCGGCCGCCGA